UACGUAGGGGGCAAGCGUUGUCCGGAAUCAUUGGGCGUAAAGAGCGUGUAGGCGGCCCGAUAAGUCCGCCGUGAAAGUCCAGGGCUCAACCCUGGGAUGCCGGUGGAUACUGUCGGGCUCGAGUCCGGAAGAGGCGAGUGGAAUUCCUGGUGUAGCGGUGAAAUGCGCAGAGAUCGGGAGGAACACCCGUAGCGAAGGCGGCACUCUGGGCCGUGACUGACGCUGAGGAGCGAAAGCGUGGGGAGCAAACAGG
rnacentral:rRNA from 1 species